UCCUGGUCUGACAAGUCAUUCCGCCUUUGCUCUGGGCCACGGUCUUACUACCUUGAAACCGAUGCUUCUCCAUAGCCUGAUCAGCAGAUCGGAAGAGUAAGAGAGGCAGAUCCUUCCUCUUCUACCACCAGAGCUCCGUCAGUGGAAAAUGUGUUCCAGGCCUCCGGGUUUGUCCCUUAGCAACAGUGCCCAUGUACUUGGGCCUUUUGAGUGGGAUGGCCAAUAAGCCCCUUGUUUCAAAUCUCUGCGGGAACAAGUGGAUGCUACUCUCAGUGUCCACUAAACCAUAAGUCCUUUGAGGAUACAGGAAGACAUGCACCAACCUCAAGAUCGAAAUGCAGUAAGAGGAAGUCUGCAAGCAAAGAAAGGGCAGCCCACCACUGCCUUCUCUUGCAGAAAUGGCAGAAUCUCUGGGGAUAGUAAGCAGUUUACUCUCGCAUGAGCUCAACACAGUCCCAGAACUAAGCCUCGGUGGGCCCAUGCCUGGACCUGUCAUUAUGCUCUGGACAGUGGUACAUACGGAACGGUCAUGGUGGGACCGGUGCCCACCUAGAGUCUCCAUGGACUGAGAGUGGAGGCGGAUGGUGUCUCAGAGGAAAACUAAGGUGCUGUUACCAGAAGAAGAAGGAAAGAGGCUGGGCAGAUGUGAUGAAGUUAAGGAUCUUGAGAUGAGAUCAUCCUGGGUUAAGGUGAGCCCUAAAUCAAAUGGCAAGUGUCCUCAGAAGAGAAGGGUGGAAGACAGAGAGGAGAAGCCCAUGUGAAGGUGGGGGCAGAGAUUAGAGUGAUGCAUCUAUAAGCCAAG
rnacentral:lncRNA from 1 species